AUUGAACGCUGGCGGCAGGCUUAACACAUGCAAGUCGAGCGGAGCGAGGGUGCUUGCACCUUAGCUUAGCGGCGGACGGGUGAGUAAUGCUUAGGAAUCUGCCUAUUAGUGGGGGACAACAUUCCGAAAGGGAUGCUAAUACCGCAUACGCCCUACGGGGGAAAGCAGGGGAUCUUCGGACCUUGCGCUAAUAGAUGAGCCUAAGUCGGAUUAGCUAGUUGGUGGGGUAAAGGCCUACCAAGGCGACGAUCUGUAGCGGGUCUGAGAGGAUGAUCCGCCACACUGGGACUGAGACACGGCCCAGACUCCUACGGGAGGCAGCAGUGGGGAAUAUCGGACAAUGGGCGGAGGCCUGAUCCAGCCAUGCCGCGUGUGUGAAGAAGGCCUUUUGGUUGUAAAGCACUUUAAGCGAGGAGGAGGCUACUAGUAUUAAUACUACUGGAUAGUGGACGUUACUCGCAGAAUAAGCACCGGCUAACUCUGUGCCAGCCGCCGCGGUAA
rnacentral:rRNA from 1 species